GACGAACGCUGGCGGCGUGCUUAACACAUGCAAGUCGAGCGGGCCCGCCCCUGUUUUUGGGGGUGGGUUGAGUGGCGAACGGGUGAGUAUCACGUGAGUAACCUGCCCCCUGCUCCUGGAUAACUGCUUGAAAGGGCGGCUAAUACGGGGUGUGCCGGCUGGUCCGCAUGGGCCUGGUCGGGAUAGUUUCAUCUUCGGGUGUUUCGGUGGGGGAUGGGCUCGCGGCCUAUCAGCUUGUUGGUGGGGUGAUGGCCCACCAAGGCGGUGACGGGUAGCCGGCCUGAGAGGGUGGGCGGCCACACUGGGACGGAGACACGGCCCAGACUCCUGCGGGAGGCAGCAGUGGGGGGUAUUGCACAAUGGGCGGAAGCCUGAUGCAGCGACGUCGCGUGAGGGAUGGAGGCCUUCGGGUUGUGAACCUCUUUCUCCGGUGGUGAAGGCCCUGUCCGUUGCGGCGGGGUUGACGGUAGCCGGGGAUGAAGCGCCGGCUAACUACGUG
rnacentral:rRNA from 1 species